rnacentral:lncRNA from 1 species
CUCGUUUUGCCAACAGGCUUCAGAAAUAUCAAUUAGUCUUCCUCCAAGUCUACACUGUGAGCUCCACAUCUGAGGUGGCGUUGUGAGGUAGGGGGAAUCGGGCUAAUUGUUGAUCAUUUGUCCUUGUUCUCUCUUCUCACUGUGGUUGUGUGUGUGAGUGUGCUCUAGGGAUUUUGGGGGUUGUUUGGAACAAGCCUCUAGUCUACACACAAGCAGGUUGUAACACACAGCUGAUAACUGAUGUCUAGUGAGCAUUCUGGUGCAACCUGUCUGCCAUGCCUCUCCAAAGUGGAUGGGGCUCUGUAUGUAGGAGUGGGUGCGUGACUGUGUGUGGAAGUGGGUGCUACACAUUGAUGGCAGAAGAAAGCUGACCUGCUACCUGUGCUGACCUGCUAGUAUGUAAAUAUCCUAAUAACGUUAUAAUGUUCGGUAAUUAAAUAAA